AAAUAGAUCCCAUUGUGCAUGCUAGAGCAACACCAUCGGCCGGGCGUCUCUUCCGGCUAGUCCGCCGCUUCAUUGCUCAGGCUGGCUUCCCCCAACCCAUUUAUAUGAACUCUAUUGGAAACUCGGCUUUUGCAGGGAGCUAUGGAGUGUGUGCUGAAGCAUCUGGCCACUGAAUGUGUAAAACACCAAGGGAAACACGAAGUUCUGCGGUAACCCCAGAGAUCAGAGCUGCCGCCUCUGCCCUGGUUUGGUCCACGCUGCCACCUUGAAGAAGGUGUGGGAGUUUUCUGCCAGCAUCGUAUCUUUCUCAAGGAGACUAGGAAAGACUUGUGAUGACCCAGGAGGGUGGUGUGUGACCACAGGUUCUGUGCUAGUGGCUCUAGGAAGUAGCCCUGAGGCCUGGGUUGAAGUCAGAUCCCACGGAGCUACAUCUGUAUUUUCACAGACUCAGGGCGCAGAGCUGUUCUACAUUUUCCAGCCUCCCUUGCAGUUUCUUGGUUGCUAAGUAUUGGCGGUGAAGUAACUGAAUUCUAGCUGAAGAACUGUGCUUGGGUGUGAUGUGUGCCACUUCCAAGUCUGACCGAAGACCUCCGCGCGCUCUCCCCAGCUGCCGGCCUGAUGCAGAUCGUAUGUGGCGGCUUGAAGUCACAUGUUGAAGCUGGUGGAACCACAUGAUGGAAGGAGUGUAGGUUCCCGAAUCCCUGCUUGGAGGAAAGCCAGCUGCUCAGCAGACUUUUGUGCAACUUUAGAGUGUACACUAGGAAGAAAUAAACUUUGAUUGCUGGAGCGAUUACA